AUUGAACGCUAGCGGCAUGCCUAACACAUGCAAGUCGAACGAGUGGCGGACGGGUGAGUAAUAUAGGGGAACGUGCCUAGGAGAGGGGGAUAACUACUCGAAAGUGUGGCUAAUACCGCAUACUCUCAGAGCGGCCGAUAUGGGAUUAGCUUUUUGGUGGGGUAAAGGCUCACAAAGGCGACGAUCCCUAGCUGGUCUGAGAGGAUGACCAGCCACACUGGGACUGAGAAACGGCCCAGACUCCUACGGGAGGCAGCAGUGGGGAAUAUUGGACAAUGGGGGAAAGCCUGAUCCAGCCAUGCCGCGUGUAUGAAGAAGGCCUUAGGGUUGUAAAGUACUUUUGGUAGAGAAGCGGUAUCUGCAGAAGAAGCACCGGCUAACUACGUGCCAGCAGCCGCGGUAAUAC
rnacentral:rRNA from 1 species